GGCAGCCGCAACAUCCUGGCCACGUAUCAGGAUCCAUUUCACUCCCUGGCCACGAAUCAGGGCAUCACCUGGCCACGUAUCAGGUGUCUUCGACCCCCUGGCCACGAAUCAGGGGUCACCUGGCCACGCACCAGGUGGCACUGCGCGCGAUAACACAUAUACGCUCCUUCCGGUGGCCGAGCAUGUUCUGACGUUUUCCACGAGACUCCGCGGCCGAGACGAGGCUGGCCAUUUGCCCCAAAACCAUGUCGGCGUUUCUCGAAUACAUCGUUAAUACUUUGGUUUAAUAGUUUUUAUAACUGUAACAUUGAUUAUUGUAUUAUUUUCCUGUUUGGUUUCAAGUGAAUGGGUAUGCCAGCUUUGUUACUGCGUUUGAACUUGGCUUGUAAAUAUUGAAAGCGUAUGUAUAAAUUUGGGAUGUCCAUAUGGAUAUUUAUUGGUUUUAAUUGCCUUAGCCGCCGAGCUUGAAAGCCGCCCUUUGAAAGAGUGGACUGUCUUUGGAGCGCAACAUCGACGACUAAAUCCCUAAUAUUCCCAGGAAUUCAUCCGCGAAACCAUCGAAGUCGUUGAAGACCAUGGCGUCAAGGAAAUUACUGGCAUCCCAGCGCCACCUCAGUCUCAUCUCCGACACCUCGGAUCCCUCAACCAAACAGCAUCCCACUGAUCCCGCCACAUCCAGCGGACAUUCCCCCCUGGUCCGCCGGCAAUCCUCCAGCACUCUGCUGUCGACGCGCUCCCUCUCCGAGCAGUCGCGACCGCAUCCAGCAAAAUUGGCCGCGACGUCCACCAUCGCCUGGGCGGAAAAUAUUGAGGAGAAAGUGGAGUAUAUCGAUGUUGCGAAUGACGCUGCGGUCCCGUCGGAACAGGACAAAAACGGUCCCGGAGAAAGUGGUGUCGCUGGUGAAGAAGGGGAAAUAUUGGAAGCAUCUGCAGGUGAUUGCCGCCGCGCUGGAGGGCGAGGGAUGCCGGUUGUUGGAGAAGAAUGCAGCGGUGAAGGAGAUGAAGAAGAACAGCAGCACCGCUUUAAAACUCUGGUGUGGGAGCUGAACGGACACUGGUUGGGGAAAUGCGCCAAACGACCAUCCAUGGCGCCGUGUUCGCGAUGCGAACUAGCCGUGCCGCUGAAACAGCUGGAGGACCAUUUGAGCAAUGUCGAUUGUCUGGCUAGAAAGGACAACUACGGCGCCUGGAAGAGAUGUUACGAAAACGGGCAGUGCCAGAGGUUGGCGGGGUCCAGCGCACACCGGCGGAACGCGACAUCCACACGGUGCAGUUUCGCGAUGACGCGGUGCCGCCGGAAUUCACACCGGCCACGCCCACCAGCAGUACCCGCCGCAGCACGUUGAUGAGACCACGGGCAGUCAACCACCCGCGAUGGGAUGUUCAGUCAGACGGCCAAAA